rnacentral:rRNA from 1 species
CGGAGAGGGAGCAUGAGAAACGGCUACCACUUCUAAGGAAGGCAGCAGGCGCGCAAAUUACCCAAUCCUGACUCAGGGAGGUAGUGACAAGAAAUAACAAUAAACCGGCUUAUGCCGGUUUAAUUGGAAUGAGUACAAUUUAAACAUCUUAACGAGGAACAAUUGGAGGGCAAGUCUGGUGCCAGCAGCCGCGGUAAUUCCAGCUCCAAUAGCGUAUACUAAAGUUGUUGCAGUUAAAAAGCUCGUAGUUGGAUUUCUGCGGGGACGGAGCGGCCGGUCGCAACUUGCGACUCGAGCUAGCGCUUUCCCCGCAUCCUGCCGCGAACCGUGCUACCAUUAGCUUGGUGGCGCUGGGGAUCGGCUCGAUUACUUUGAGAAAAAUAGAGUGUUCAAAGCAGGCCACACGCCUUGAAUAAGUUAGCAUGGAAUAAUGACUAAGGACUUCGGUUCUAUUUUGUUGGUGUUCGGGACUGAAGUAAUGAUUGAUAGGGACAGUUGGGGCGGUCUGUAUUCCAAAGCGAGAGGUGAAAUUCUUAGACCUUCGGAAGACAAACAGCUGCGAAAGCGUUCCGCAAGGAUGUUCCCUUUGAUCAAGAACGAAAGUUGGGGGAUCGAAGACGAUCAGAUACCGUCGUAGUCUCAACUAUAAACUAUACCAGCUAGGGAUCGGUCAACGUUUAAUCAUUCGACUUGAUCGGCACCUUAUGAGAAAUCAAAGCAUCUGGGUUCCGGGGGGAGUAUGGUCGCAAGGCUGAAACUUAAAGGAAUUGACGGAAGGGCACCACCAGCCGUGGAGCCUGUGGCUUAAUUUGACUCAACACGGGAAAACUUACCAGGUCCAGACAUAGUAAGGAUUGACAGAUUGAUAGCUCUUUCUUGAUUCUGUGGGUGGUGGUGCAUGGCCGUUCUUAGUUGGUGGAGUGAUUUGUCUGGUUAACUCCGUUAACGAACGAGACCCCAGCCUGCUAAAUAGCGCGGCUGAGCUUUGCUCGGUGCGAGCUUCUUAGAGGGACUAUGAUGCGCGAUAGCACAUGGAAGUUUGGGGCAAUAACAGGUCUGUGAUGCCCUUAGAUGUUCUGGGCCGCACACGGGCUACACUGGCGCCUGCAACGAGCAUAUCAGCUGGCCCGAGAGGGUCUUGGCUAAUCUUUUGAACCGGCGCCGUGCUUGGGAUUGACCAUUGCAAUUGUUGGUCAUGCAACGAGGAAUGCCUUGUAAACGCGAGUCAUCAGCUCGCAUUGAAUACGUCCCUGCCCUUUGUACACACCGCCCGUCGCUCCUACCGAUGAAUGUUCCGAUGAAAUUUUCGGAGAGCGCCAGAGAACGGGGCUCUGCCUUGCAGAUCUGGAGGCUCAAAGUCACUUAAAUCUGAACAUUUCGAGGAAGGAGAAGUCGUAACAAGGUAACC